AGCCAAGAGGUCUGAGUUAUUCUUGCUUGUCUGUUAUAUCAGAUUUCUUUUCCUAACUUAUCAAAAUCGUAGAAAUCUCUGCCACGGGGAUAGAAGUGGUAUGGAAAAUGCUGGUAUAAUCUGAGGUGUGCCUAAGAGACAAUUGCAUUGGAUUUGCUGUGCGGUCUGUCACAGAGUUGUGUGCAUCCCUAGAGGACUUUUCAGUCUGCCUAUACAUCUCAAUUUCACUGCAGGUCUCCGAAUACAAGAACACAAGACAGCACUUAAUUGUGCUCCUGGCCCAACUAAAUUGCGCUCUGGAAUGCAGACACCCAGCAAAGAUUUAAGGAAGAGAGUGAGUCUGGAAUGAAGAAGGAGAUUUCACCCUAAGAAAUGGUUUGACCAUCACAUGGAGUUACCGAGAUUUCAAUUCAUCAGGUACUGGAAAUUUACUGUAUGGCUUUGCAUUUGCUCAGCAAGUACCCAGCCACAGAGCUGCAGCCAAGACCUUCAUUUCCAUUGAACGUACCUUGGAACUGUCCGUGCCAAAGAUAUCAGACAUGGCAGGGGAGGGGGUGUCAAAGCCUGUGCUCUAAGCCAGAUUCAGCCACCCUCCCUCAAGAAGACAAUGACAAGGGUCAAAUCAAUAGUGGAAAGCGGAAAAGGGAAUGUGGCCACAUUGGGAAACAGAACAAAGAAAUCCAAUGAGUCCCCUAAAUCUGUCCAUCUUCGAGGUCCUGAAGUGAGAUUAGAGUUUAAACAGUGGUAUAGUGGUGCGUGCCUUUAGUCCCAGCACUUGGGAAGCAGAAGCAGGCAGAUCUCUGUCAAUUUGAGGCCAGCCUGGUCUACACCAUGAGCUACGUGGACUGAGACAAAUUCUGCAAAUGACACGCUCAUAUAAAUCUACAACAUGUACAGUGACAUUCAAAACUCAAGAAUAAAGAAUCCAGUAUGAAGCAGGGCACGAUGGUCGAAGCCUUCAAUUCUAUUACUCAGGGGGCAGAGGCAGGCAGAUCUCCAAGUUUAAGCCUGUUCUACAUAGUGUAUUCUUGGAUAGCAAAAACCGCAGAGAGAAAGCCCUGUGUCAAGCACGCCUUCCAAAAUAAAAUAUACACCCAAAUAAACAAAGAAUCAGAUGUGAAAAUGGGCAAAAGCCGUUGUCUAAUUAGCUCAAUGGCCAACUUGACACAGCUUAGAUCUGAGGAAACCUCAGUUGCCAAAAUCGGACUGGCACGUGGGCAGUUCAGUGAGACACUGACUCGGUUGCUGAUUGAUGGGGCAAGGAAUAAAAUCAAUUACGUAGUCUAGCUAGCCCAUAUCAAAGACACACAACCCUGGUAUUUUAUUCACAAGCUGUGAGCCUAGACCAGGUAGGUUGUAAACUAUUCUAACUUCCAUCCCAGUCGUAUGUUCCUUGCAACUUCCUAUUUAACUUUAAACUGGGGAGCGGGUUUACUUAGCAUCACUUGGUGUAUGUGAGGAUCUCCUCUUAGAGGCCACCAGAUCUUGGGGGCCUGUAUUUAGCAUUUGAAUGCAUAACAACACCAAAGCAACACCGAACAGGAAGGCUCCCCAUUCAUAGGAAGGCAGGUAGGUAAAAGACAGCUAGCUGAGCUUGAGACAGACAGCAAAACAGAGAGUGAGCCCUGUGGUUCCUGCCUCUAGGUUCCUGCUGGUGUUCCUACCCUGACUUCCCUGAAUGAUAGGUUGUGACCGGAAAGUCUAGGCCAAAUAAUCCCUCUUCUGGAGCUGCUUUGGGUCAUGGUGUUUCUCACAGUAACAGGAAAGCAAUCUACAACAGUUUCAGAGUGAUAUUUUACCAAAGAGAAUAUACAGCUGGCAAAGAACAUAAAAAAUGUUUUCAGCCUCAUUCGCUGCUGGGGAAACAAACUCACAACGAUACAUCACAUCCAUGGUAACAGCUGAAGGACAAGGUGUUAAAUUUCAAGGUAGGCAGAGGGGACAUGACUACACAAUAAAGAUGGUGAGAUUCCAAGAUGGCUGUCUUCUUCCUAACCCUCCGGACUUGAGACAAAGGCCUGGCAGCUUAAAACAAAAGCUCCACAGGCAUUUUCUUCCCAGUAGGAUGCCUCAGCCUGUAGACAAGUUCAAGGCCAUACCUUGACUAGUUUACCCUAAACCUGUAGACACCUAGUCUUUGCUCAAAUGAACUAAAGUGGGGGAGGAAGACCCCCUCAAAGACCCUUAAAACUCCCAGCCCUCUGGGAGAGUCAGGGCUCUUGUUUCCAAUCCCCCUCUCCCUCUGCCUGACUUGCACAGUGUCCUCGCUGUGUACUUUGAUAUGUGUUUUUCCUCACUGUAAUAAAAUUCCUUCUCUCCUGGUUGGUGCAGUCCGCUGUGUCUGAGAUUUCCUGCAUACCAUUGUACUAAGGAUUAUUUCUGCUUUUUUUUUAAACUGACAGAGAUAACAAAUCAGUCAAGACUCCUAGACAGGGCAGUAGUGUCUACCCUAAAAAUUAGGGUAGGUGAUAACAAGAAGGUGAGAAGGCCUUUCGGGUAAAGGAGAUUGCUAAGUCUGGCUACCUGAGUUCAAUCCCCAGGACCCAUAGAGUGGAAAAUUAG
rnacentral:sRNA from 1 species